AGCGAGGCAAUUUUUUUUAAAAAGUGUUUUGGAGCCACUGAAGGCCCAAGAAGCUAUAGAACAAAUGAUGCAAAAUCAUGCUUUCUGAGUGUUCCGAAGACCCUUUCAUAAUAUGAAAAUGCAAAUUUUGUAUUAAUAAUAUUUUGACAAUAUUUUGGUCUCAAAGCAAAAUGUAUAAAUUCAGUGUAAGACUGAAGUUUCUAGGGACAACAUCAAAAGACCAAUGUGCAUGAUAAAGUAAAAAUGGAAUUCACAUAGUUAAGUCUGUGGCUGCUGUUUUUUUUUAAAACUCAUGAUCAAGUUCAUAACAAAGUUACUACAUUACAAAAGGAAUGCAACACUAACAGAAUACAGAAGGGCAAUCAAUGAACAAAAGACAAAUAAAUAAGAAAUAUUGAUCCCGAAAAA
rnacentral:lncRNA from 1 species